CCGCCGCCAUCUUGGGUGUGGCGCGCCGCCAUGUUGAGUGUGGCGCUGGGCCGCCUCGGCCCGCUGCCUGCUCGCGGUGGUGUGCGUGCUGCCGUUGUGCGGGAGAGCCAUCUCCAGUGUCCCAGGAAGGGACUGGACGUCAGGAUUGCAAGCAGUGGGUUUCUGCACACAGCCAUUGUUUUCCAAAGAGAGCAGAUCCACACAUACCUCCCAAGGAGAACUGACUUGGCAUGGGCCAUGCAGGUAGUUCUGCCUUUGGGGAAGACCACACAGCAGCAGGCACCGUUCAAGUGCUGAACAGCAAUCUCUCUCUGUGGGCACAGGGAGAGGCAGUGUUUCUGACAUGUUUUUCCCUGGUUCCCAGCCAUGAAGCCUUGUGUGACCCCAGCCGUGCCAGGUGGUAUCUCUGUGCUCCGUCUGGUCAGCAGAGAUAAAAAUACCCAGUUUUUCA